rnacentral:rRNA from 1 species
AGAGUUUGAUCCUGGCUCGGAACGAACGCUGGCGGCGUGCCUAAUACAUGCAAGUCGAACGAGAAAGUGGCUUCGGCCAUAAGUACAGUGGCAGACGGGUGAGUAAUACAUAGGUAACUUUCCCUUAAGUUGAGGACAACCUUCCGAAAGGAGGGCUAAUACUGAAUGAGACCACAGUGACAUAAGUCACAGGGGUUAAAGACGGCCUCUAUUUAUAAGCUUUCGCUUAAGGAUAGGCUUAUGCACCAUUAGCUAGUUGGUAGGGUAAUGGCCUACCAAGGCUACGAUGGUUAGCUGAUCUGAGAGGUUGAUCAGCCACACUGGAACUGAGACACGGUCCAGACUCCUACGGGAGGCAGCAGUAGGGAAUAUUGCGCAAUGGAGGAAACUCUGACGCAGCGACGCCGCGUGGGUGACGAAGGCUUUCGGGUCGUAAAGCCCUGUCGGAAGGGACGAAAGACAUGUUGAUAAUACCAACAUGGGAUGACGGUACCUUUAAAGGAAGCACCGGCUAACUACGUGCCAGCAGCCGCGGUAAUACGUAGGGUGCAAGUGUUGUUCGGAAUCAUUGGGCGUAAAGCGUGUGUAGGUGGCUUAUUAAGUCGAUUGUGAAAUCCCUGGGCUCAACCGAGGAAGUGCAGUCGAAACUAGUAGGCUAGAAGAUGGCAGAGGAAGGUGGAAUUCCUAGUGUAGAGGUGAAAUUCGUAGAUAUUAGGAGGAAUACCGGCGGCGAAGGCGGCCUUCUGGACCAUUCUUGACACUGAGACACGAAAGCGUGGGUAGCAAACAGGAUUAGAUACCCUGGUAGUCCACGCCGUAAACGAUGGGCACUAGAUGUUGUAGGAAUUGACCCCUGCAGUGUCGAAGCUAACGCAUUAAGUGCCCCGCCUGGGAAGUACGGUCGCAAGAUUAAAACUCAAAGGAAUUGACGGGGGCCCGCACAAGCGGUGGAGCAUGUGGUUUAAUUCGAUGCAACGCGAGGAACCUUACCUGGAUUUGACAUCCUCGGACAACCCCAGAGAUGGGGCUUGGUAGAAAUACCCCGGGAGACAGGUGCUGCAUGGCUGUCGUCAGCUCGUAUCGUGAGAUGUCGGGUUAAGUCCCUUAACGAGCGCAACCCCUAUCCCUAGUUGCCAUCAUUUAGUUGGGCACUCUACGGAGACUGCCGGUGUUAAACCGGAGGAAGGUGGGGAUGACGUCAAGUCCUCAUGGCCUUUAUAUCCAGGGCUACACACGUGCUACAAUGGCUGAUACAAAGGGUUGCCAACCCGCAAGGGGGAGCUAAUCUCAUAAAGUCAGUCUCAGUUCGGAUUGGAGUCUGCAACUCGACUCCAUGAAGCUGGAAUCGCUAGUAAUCGUAGAUCAGAACGCUACGGUGAAUACGUUCCCGGGCCUUGUACACACCGCCCGUCACACCACGAAAGUUGAUUUCACCAGAAGUCGCUGUGCCAACCGUAAGGAGGUAGGCGCCCAAGGUGAGGUCGAUGAUUGGGGUGAAGUCGUAACAAGGUA